GUUUUGAAGCCAGAAACUCCCAUAAACCCUAUAAAUAGACUGUUUAUAAUGGCCAAUGGGCUAGGUUACAUGUCACGUGGGCCGGGUAGUGGGGUAAGUGGGGUCGUCUUACAAGGCAAAAAGGCAUCUCGACCGCCAUGAAAGCCAUAUCCUGCCACGGCGCUUCGCGAAUGGCGGCCGCCAUUCAAAAAAGGGAGUAAACUGCCAUAUCACAUGGUGGCGGUGGCGUUGAGCCUAGAAACUGCCACCGCCAUCCGCCACGGCGCCGCCAUCUCCGCUUUUUAAUAACACUGCUUCAUCGUCAAGCUACAUGAGUAUUUACUUACAAUUGCAUGUAGGGAUUAUAAAUUUGCUAAAACAAUGAAUGAUUAUUUUCCUAAUCGGCGUUGAUUUUUAAUCAUACACUGCAUUAUGUUUAAUUUGUUUCGAUUGGGAAACUUGUGUAUAUGUAUGUGUGUGUGAUUCUCAUUUAUUCGAUCGUGUAUGCUUCUCCUGCUAUUAAUAACAUUAGGAAACUAGUUUAGUAGCAGAUAAAAUCCGUUGUGUGUAGUGUUGAUUGUUGUGCGUGUGCUAAAAUGAAACUGCUUCUGUCGAUUUCUUAGAAAUUCAGUUGAUUUUUCGUUGAUUGAUUUUUCGUUGCUGCAACCACCAUAUUGUUUCACUGUGGCUCAGAUUGAAAAUGCAUCUUAUAGGGAAAUUUAGGCAUCUUAAGAACUUCUCACGAACCUGUUUGAGAUCCUGUUUUUUCUUUCUACAAAAGCAGGAUAGAACGUAGUGAAUUGCAUCUGUCAAAUUUCUGACUGCUACUUGGCUCAAUGUGGUAAGGUUUACUGUUAUUAUCUCUAUCAUUUGAUUAUAUUUUAUAAGCCUGGAGCAAGGGAGAGCAUUCAACUGCUUUAGCAUCUGCUACUGAUGCUACAAUACAGGAGCUGGAGAGAGAUAAUAAGAGAGAUUGUGGGGACUUUGCAACUCUCUGGGAAGCUCACUAUUCCCAUUUCUCUCAAGCAGCCUGCUCCAAGAAGCUCUUGAUUCAAUGUUUCAUAAAGCGGAGUUGUGGCUUGCAAACCAAUCACCUUUACCUCAAUCUGAGCUAAGAGAUGUAGACGUCCAACGUAUACAGACUAUAUAACCCUAGAGUGAUGAUAUUUUAGAGGGCAGCAGCAACUACGUUGGCAAGUUAAGGGAGAAGAGCUCAGAAAGCAAAUUACCGCAGUUACCUUAUAUCUAGUGCAGUGCCAAGACGCAAUAGGAGUAAGUUAUGACGAAGGCGUUAUGAUUUACGGGCUAACGGGGCAGAAGACCCAAAUUAUGAUGUCUUUUAUGUUGAGUUUUUUGGGAAGACAGAAGAGAAAUGUGAGAGCAAGUGACAAUUGAGGUGCAGGAGAAAACUGCAAACGAAAUCGAAAGUUGCACGAGGAGUUGGAGAAGCAAAAUGCGGCGUCGCGCGCAGUGUUAGAGAAGCAAAAUACGGAGUUGCCCGCGGAGCUAGAGAAGAAAAAUGCGGAAUUGCAAGAAUAGUUGAAGAAUCUUAGUCAACAAGUUUACAAUAUGAGAAGUCAAAAAUAGAUUAAGUCUUAUAAACUAAAAGGAAGUGUAAAAAAAAUUAAUAAUAAAAAAAGGAAAAAUAGUAAUUUAUGGUGAAAGUAGUUUUGCGAGCAAAAGAGUCCAAAUUUGCAAGCAAAUGAUAGGUGCUAGCAGUUUUCGAAUAUGUAUAUAGCGAGCAUAAAGGUGCUAGCAAAUUGCCUUGGAUGGUAGGUUUCAGGACAUGCUCGGAGCAAGAAGAGUAUGAUAAGCCUGAUGGUGAGGUUGAGUAGAUUUAUGAAAGCCACCAGGUAGCAUUCAUUCUCUAUGCAGCCGUGAGAACCUGUUUUACAGUAGUGUGUUGCCAGACUCCUAAACUCCUGUCCAGACUAUGGAAUAUUGUCUUGGGAGUAUAAUUGUGUCCUCCAAGUUGUUGAUAUCCGUUUCAGUUUGAGGGACUCCAAACAAUGCUAGGAUGCAUUUUUAUUUAAUCUUGUGUCUGAUAAAACCUUUCAAUAG